CCUUCCGUGUUUUUCUCUCUGCACUCUUCAAAUAUUUCUUUAUUGGUGUUUUAGGUCACCUAAGUGAAACUGGAAGAAAAACUGGUUAUGAAAGAGCAACAGUGAUAGUCAGCUUAGCAGCAGGACUGUGUACUCAACCCCACUAGGUUCCCUCCAAUGACAAAGUUCCCUAACUCAGCUGGUCGAAGGCGAUCAAACACUACAUGUCAGUGUAAUUUGCAAGACGGACACAAAGGAAACUCUUCUGUAGCCAACUGGUUCUUUCUAAACAUUCAUUUGUAUUAAAAGAUUUACAGUGUUAGAGGCCCUUACUGGAACUGGAACUGAGUGCAGGUGGGCCUUGGGAAAAUUAGAAUAUACUACAGCUAUACCUUCCAAAUCAGGAGUCAAGUUCUCCUGUGCAUGAACUCAGGCAGACACCAGAAAGAGGCCUACAUGACAACAAGUAUCAAAAGAAAUAAGAUGUAA